GACGUAGGGCGCGAGCGUUGUCCGGAUUUAUUGGGCGUAAAGAGCUCGUAGGCGGUUUGUCGCGUCGUCCGUGAAAACUCACAGCUUAACUGUGAGCUUGCGGUCGAUACGGGCAGGCUAGAGUUCGGCAGGGGAGACUGGAAUUCCUGGUGUAGCGGUGAAAUGCGCAGAUAUCGGGAGGAACACCGGUGGCGAAGGCGGCGAUCUGGGUAGAUACUGACGCUGAGGUGCGAAAGCGUGGGGAGCAAACAGGG
rnacentral:rRNA from 1 species